rnacentral:rRNA from 1 species
AGCAGCCGCGGUAAUUCCAGCUCCAAUAGCGUAUAUUAAAGUUGUUGCAGUUAAAAAGCUCGUAGUUGAAUUUCGGGGUUAGUAGGUUGGUCAUGCCUCUGGUAUGUACUGGUCUCACUGAUUCCUCCUUCCUGAUGAGCCGCAAUGCCAUUAAUUUGGUGUUGCGGGGAAUUUGGACUGUUACUUUGAAAAAAUUAGAGUGUUUAAAGCAAGCUAACGCUUGAAUACAUUAGCAUGGAAUAAUGAAAUAGGACGUUCGAUCCUAUUUUGUUGGUUUCUAGGAUUGACGUUAUGAUUAAUAGGGAUAGUUGGGGGCAUUAGUAUUCAAUUGUCAGAGGUGAAAUUCUUGGAUUUAUUGAAGACUAACUACUGCGAAAGCAUUUGCCAAGGAUGUUUUCAUUAAUCAAGAACGAAAGUUAGGGGAUCGAAGACGAUCAGAUACCGUCGUAGUCUUAACCAUAAACUAUGCCGACUAGGGAUCGGAUGAUGUUAAUUUUUUAAUGACUCA